rfam:Oryza sativa Japonica Group DNA, chromosome 10, cultivar: Nipponbare, complete sequence.
UCGUGCUGGUGAUGAUUAAAGAGCUAGCAAUGGUGAAUUCGAUGAAUUUGUUCGCGUGCUGCUGGGUGCGCAGCAGUGGUGAUAUGCAUCCUUACGCAGUUCAUAUGAGGCACGC